UACGAACUGCGCAAACGUUAUUCGGAAUCACUGGGCUUACAGGGUGCGUAGGCGGCGGGGAAAGUAGGGUGUGAAAUGCCUUGGCUCAACCAAGGCACAGCGCUCUAAACUACCUCGCUCGAGUGAGUCAGGGGUACGCGGAACUUCCGGUGGAGCGGUGAAAUGUGUUGAUAUCGGAAGGAACACCGGUGGCGAAAGCGGCGUACUGGGGCUCAACUGACGCUGAGGCACGAAAGCCAGGGGAGCGAACGGG
rnacentral:rRNA from 1 species